UCUUUAAUUCUAGGUAGAAGACCUUCCUCUGGCCUAGUGAAGCUGUGACAAUAAUAUGGAAGUGAGGCUGAAAAUGAACCAAGACUGAUGUGAAAUGAACUAGGUGGUAUACUGAGACUGUAAAGAUACAAGGAUGGUGAAGAUUGUCCAAGGUUGGCAGGUUCCUCAACUUGGACUUCAUUAGACUCUAGAGGGUAACCACCAGUUCUCUACAAGCUGACAUGUAUUGUUCCUAUAAUAUCAGUUGUUACCUGGAUGAGUCAUCGUGACACUUGGGCUGUGAUGAAACUGUAUUGUUUAUACUGUUGUAAAUAAAGCUUUGGUUAAAUCUA